GUCUGGAGUGCCGGGAGAGUCCGGUGCAGCAGUCAUGUCCCUGCAGGCUGAUUUUGAUAAGGCAACAGAAGAUGUGAGGAAGCUGAAGACCAGGCCAGAUGACCAGGAACUGAAAGAACUCUAUGGGCUCUACAAACAAUCUAUAAUUGGAGACAUAGAUAUUGAGUGUCCAGCAAUGAUAGAUCUAAAAGGCAAAGCUAAGUGGGAAGCUUGGAACCUUCAAAAAGGAUUAUCAAAGGAAGAUGCCAUGAGUGCCUAUAUUUCUAAAGCAAAAGAGCUAAUAGAAAAGUAUGGAAUCUAAAAUUCAGUGUGUGAGAAAAUUUGCCUUUUGAAGCCCUCAGAAUGGUAUCAUGACCUAUUAUUUAGGGGAGAAGUGCACUGUUAACUCUUUAUUAAUGAAUAUUUUUGCUAUUAACAUGAAUUGUAAUUCUUAAUUAGAGGUAACUUUACUUGCUAAAACCAGGCGAUUUUUAAAAAAGCUCUUUUAUAGAAAGUGUGGCUCUGGUGGUUGGUGUACAAAACAUUAACAAUUGCUUGUUCUUUUGGCUUAUCUGUUUCUUUCUGCAGUGAGCCGCUCUUACUGGUGUAGUCAAAACAGUUUACUGAGAACCAGUAACAAGACCCUUUCUCUGUUGCACUGUGUAGCUUUGGGAUUCCUGCUGACGUGGGGCCUUGAUCAUCACAGACAUGCCUGGUUCCCGUCCUCCUUCUGUGGUUUAUUGACUAGGUAACCUGAGGCAGGUUCCUAAAGCUUACUAAGCCUCGUCUGUAGAGUAUGGAAAAAAAUCAGUCUCACAGGGUUAUAAGAAUUGAAUGAGACAACUGUAAUUGUCCCACCUUCAUUUUUAAAGCAUGUACUGUGUAAAAGCUAACAAUAAGCAACAAAAUGUUUAAAAAUAAACUUAUGAGUCUAUCUACAUUGUUCAAAGAAAGAAAAAGACCAUCAUGGGACUAACAACUAAUGGUCUUUAAAUUUUUACAUUUAAAACAAAUUUUUUAAAAAGCCAACUGAGGAGUUCUCUUGUGGUGGAUCUGGCAUUGUCACUGCAGCAGCUCUGGUUGCCACUGUAGUGCAUGUUCGAUUCCUGGCCCUGGAACUUCCUCAUACCACCAUCGAGCCGCCCCCCCCAAAAAAAAAAUAGAAAGAAAACAAACUGAAAGGAAGUAUCUAGAAAUGACAGACUAUACAAUUACUAUGCCUCUUAUGUCCAGUUUUAUCAGAAUGAAAAUGCAGAAUCUGGAAUAUCCCAUUAAACCAAUUCUCAGUGGAACUUGCCUGUACACUUGCUCUCUGAAAGAAGAUAGUCUCAUUUUAAUUUUUAUUGUUUUAUUUUUGUUUUUUAGGGCCUCACUCUUGGCACAUGGAAGAUCCCAGACCAGAGAUCAAAUCGGAGCUGCAGCUGCUGGCCUACACCACAGCCACAGAAAUGCAGGAGCCGAGCCUCGUCUGUAACAUACACUGCAUUUCAUGGCAAUGCUGAAUCUUNCACAUUUGUUUCCACUGCACCAUAAUGGGAACUCCAAUAGUCUCUUUUUUUUAUAGUUCUACAAUCAGUUUGCAAUUCCACAGGCCGAAAACCUGCCCAAACAGUAGAUACCUCCAUUCUCAGCAUGAGGGUUUAGGUUUAGUGUCGUAGAAUCAGAGAUUGAUUUUAUGUGACUUUUACAAAAAAUGUGCAUCAACCAGACAAAUUUCCAGGGUAUUAUGCUGAG
rnacentral:lncRNA from 1 species